rnacentral:rRNA from 1 species
AAGAGGGAAACAACCCAGACCGCCAGCUAAGGUCCCAAAGUCAUGGUUAAGUGGGAAACGAUGUGGGAAGGCCCAGACAGCCAGGAUGUUGGCUUAGAAGCAGCCAUCAUUUAAAGAAAGCGUAAUAGCUCACUGGUCGAGUCGGCCUGCGCGGAAGAUGUAACGGGGCUAAACCAUGCACCGAAGCUGCGGCAGCGACGCUUAUGCGUUGUUGGGUAGGGGAGCGUUCUGUAAGCCUGUGAAGGUGUGCUGUGAGGCAUGCUGGAGGUAUCAGAAGUGCGAAUGCUGACAUAAGUAACGAUAAAGCGGGUGAAAAGCCCGCUCGCCGGAAGACCAAGGGUUCCUGUCCAACGUUAAUCGGGGCAGGGUGAGUCGACCCCUAAGGCGAGGCCGAAAGGCGUAGUCGAUGGGAAACAGGUUAAUAUUCCUGUACUUGGUGUUACUGCGAAGGGGGGACGGAGAAGGCUAUGUUGGCCGGGCGACGGUUGUCCCGGUUUAAGCGUGUAGGCUGGUUUUCCAGGCAAAUCCGGAAAAUCAAGGCUGAGGCGUGAUGACGAGGCACUACGGUGCUGAAGCAACAAAUGCCCUGCUUCCAGGAAAAGCCUCUAAGCAUCAGGUAACAUCAAAUCGUACCCCAAACCGACACAGGUGGUCAGGUAGAGAAUACCAAGGCGCUUGAGAGAACUCGGGUGAAGGAACUAGGCAAAAUGGUGCCGUAACUUCGGGAGAAGGCACGCUGAUAUGUAGGUGAAGUCCCUCGCGGAUGGAGCUGAAAUCAGUCGAAGAUACCAGCUGGCUGCAACUGUUUAUUAAAAACACAGCACUGUGCAAACACGAAAGUGGACGUAUACGGUGUGACGCCUGCCCGGUGCCGGAAGGUUAAUUGAUGGGGUCAGCGCAAGCGAAGCUCUUGAUCGAAGCCCCGGUAAACGGCGGCCGUAACUAUAACGGUCCUAAGGUAGCGAAAUUCCUUGUCGGGUAAGUUCCGACCUGCACGAAUGGCGUAAUGAUGGCCAGGCUGUCUCCACCCGAGACUCAGUGAAAUUGAACUCGCUGUGAAGAUGCAGUGUACCCGCGGCAAGACGGAAAGACCCCGUGAACCUUUACUAUAGCUUGACACUGAACAUUGAGCCUUGAUGUGUAGGAUAGGUGGGAGGCUUAGAAGUGUGGACGCCAGUCUGCAUGGAGCCGACCUUGAAAUACCAC